rnacentral:rRNA from 1 species
CCUACGGGUGGCAGCAGUGGGGAAUAUUGCGCAAUGGGCGAAAGCCUGACGCAGCGACGCCGCGUGAGGGAUGAAGGUCUUCGGAUCGUAAACCUCUGUCAGCAGGGAAGAACGGUCACUGUGCUAAUCAGCAGUGAAUUGACGGUACCUGCAAAGGAAGCACCGGCUAACUCCGUGCCAGCAGCCGCGGUAAUACGGAGGGUGCGAGAGUUAUUCGGAAUUACUGGGCGUAAAGCGCUCGUAGGCGGUAUGUCAAGUCAGGGGUAAACUCCCGGCGCUCAACGUGGGACCGGCGUUGAAACUGGGAAACUUGAGUGGGUGAGAGGAUAGGGGAAUUCCAGGUG